CUCCAGUGGUGGAGCCCGACCUAGCAGCAGGCAGCACCUAAGGGCAGGGAGUAAUUUCCUGCCCCCUGCUGCUUUGCUGACAAGGAGCACGUUUGCUUUCAGUCAGGUGUCUAAACAUGUGCUACUGCGCAGUUACUAAUCAUGAGUAAAUUUGCUACUUGCAUUUGCGGGUAGCAAAUUUACUCGCAAUUAGAGCCAAUUACUGCACAGUAAGCAUCUGCACAUGCAGAUGCAGAUGUUUACUGCUCAGUAAUUAGCUCUACUGUAUAGUGAAGCAUGUCAUGUAGACACAACCUGUGUGUCCUAGUUUUACUGCCACAUUCCCAUUUUUGUAUGAUGUUCUGGGAUACCUCAGAUCUUCUGUUUUUUUAUUUAAUCCAUUGAAGCAUAUGGCUUCUUUAUACUUGUCUGAGACACAUUACUACAAUGAGUAGAUAUCGCAUUAUGUCAAGAAGGAACAAGUGGUCCCAAGGAAGGAAUACUCAGUACUAUGACUAGCGUUUGGACUGAUGACGAGUCAGGCGACUAUAGGCAGUCUUAUAGCUGAUUCUGCCUCAAUAUUCUAUAAGAAGCCCGUUUAGUUACUGAGAGAAGUCUGUCAGGCUCAGGGAUGUGCUCACAUCAUUGCGGAGUCAUGAGAUGGCAGCAGCAACACCAGCCCACAUUUUGUCUGGGUGUUGCCUUUAAGGAACAGCACAUUUUGCCACAUUUUGCCUUUAAGGAACAGCCGCACCGAAGCACCCAAAAUUUCAAUUUUUAAACUGGAGCCAUCUUGUUUAAGGAAGAUCUUGAGAACUACCAUAGCUGGUGGGUGUUGUGGAUCCUCUAUUGGCAGGCAGCAUGACCUAGUAAGGGUAGCAUACUGGUACUAGGACGCUGAAGAUAUGGAUCACCUGUACUGUGCUGAGUGAUCUUUGGCAAAUCACCUCCUUGCCUCAGUUUCCCGUUUAUUAUGUGGGGACACAGGGACUGACUCCACUUGAGACUGAUGGAUAUACAGAGCUAGGUACUAUUGGCAGAGCAGUGCACAUGGCACCCAAAUAGCCAUAGGAGCAUGAGGCUAAGUAAUCAUCUUAGUACUUCACUCAGAUUCACAUCCCUGGAGCUAUCCAUCAAUCCAUGGAUCCCCAAGGAUUGAUUUGUCAGCAGGUGACCAGGCUGUUGCUGCCACCACCACCUUUAUGAUGGGAGACAAGGGUGUGUGUGGGUACUUGAGUUGUUGUCUCAAGCCCUUGAGAAUAGCUUGUGAGAUGCUGCCCCCUGCUGGAAGGUGGUAGGAGUGUACUUUUAUAGUGAUUGUCCAUUAUUUAGCCGAGUAUUGAGCACAUUGUACCUGUAUGAGGAAUGGGAAAGGUGAACGUCAGCUAUGGUAUCCGUGCUUCACUGUGGCAGGUCUUUGCUCCCCCAAACCCUCCAGCAAAGGACAGUUGGCUUCUUUCAAGAGGAAGGAGCCACUUCCCUUUGCUUUAAUAGAGGUGAUUAGGACCUCAGGGCUCUCUAGGUCUUCCACAAUUGACAUCAGAUCGAUCCACCCCCUCACAGCCUUUAUAAAAUAUUUUAACACUAUUACUGUAGAAUAAUGUGUUUUUCUGCCUUCCCCAAGACCUCUUUAAGAACUCCUACAUCAUCCCUUCAUCAGGGUAGCUGGUAGGGCAACAUAGAAGUGUGGCAUGUGGUGGCAGAUAUCUGAGUCCCACUGCAAGGAGAGGCACUGCUUACGUGACUAGUUUAGUUUGGCCAAGCAUUCUCUUAAAGGUUGGCUGAGAGCUCAUUGAGAGUGAUGGGAGUUUCUCCAUUUACUUCAGUGGGCUUUAGAUAGGCCCCUACUUUGGCUGAGCACUGAGAAAGGUUGAGGAUACCUUUCAGGGAGCUUUUCUCAGACAUACUAAGAAGUUGUCUAUCCUGUGAUGAAAGUGGUGCUGAACACAAUGCUGCCUUGUUUAGCCCAGCACAGUCAUGGAGACUUAUGUGAGCUGAAAUAGGCUGAGAGGGAAAGGAAUCCUGAGUCAGGGAGAGGUGGGAGAAGGCAUUCAGAUCAGCACUGAGAGUGGUGGAACCCAGGCUGGGUCUGGAACCAUGUCUCCAGGCUACAGAGCUCAAGUGAAACUUUGCUAUAUCACAAGGCUUCCCCACUCUGGUUUCUUCUUCUUCAGUAGUCUCUCACAGUGGAGAAUGAUUGCCUGCCAUGUUUGUCUUAUCUGUGGGUCCGAAGAUGGCUGAUGAGAUUGAUCCAUACUCAACAGGCACUGUUGCAACUCUAACACAUGUUUCUGUUCAGGGUCGGUGGUUCCAGAUUCCUGAUUUGGUCCACAACACUGUUUCUGCUGCUCCUGCUUUUCCAUCUCCUGUUGUCAUCUGAGGUUUCAGAGUACUGAGAUCAUUGCAGCGGACUCUUCCUCCAUUUGGGGCAGUCCUGGGUGAUAGUUUCAAAUGAGUUGAUAUUGAUGUUACAUUUUUUCAAGCUGGCCUUGAGGACAUCCUUGAAACACUUUCUCUGCCCUCCUCUUGAGUACACCUUGAUGGAGCUGGGAGAAUACAACUUGCUUCAGGAGUCUGGAGUGAUGUGACCAGCCCAGUGCAGUUGAUGUCAGAUGAUCGUUGCCUUGAUGCUCAUGGUAUUUUCUUGCAAGAGGAUGCUAAUGUUAGUGAGCCUGUCUUCCCACUGGAUCUGAAGGAUCUUUUGCAGGCAUUGUUGAUGGUACUUCUCGAACAACGUAGAUUUGGCUCCUAUUGAAAGAGGAGGAAGUCAGAGGCUCAACUGUAGGUUGGACAACAACAACAAAAAAGAAAACAGAUUAAUCCAACAGUCCUGUAAGCACUAUCUUAAUGCUCCAGGCUCCUUCGAUGGUCAUGUUUUCAACACAGAAACAAACCUGCUAAUGUCAUUAUGAGGAAUAGGCUUCUCUAACCAGACCGCAGGCAGGGGUGAUAUACAUCUAGCAUAGGCUGGCCCUGCCUGGUGUGGCAGGAGCAAGACACCAUAAUGCCAUUAGCCAGGAGAAAUUGGCUGUUUUGAUCUCAUUUAGUGCUGUGCCACUGAUAGGGGAAUUCAGUUCAGUGGCCUUUUAUGUGGGUGAAGUGCAUGAGGGCAGAGAAAAGUGAAAUUCACUCAGCUUGGUGGGGUUGGGGCACUGGGAUAUGGGUUGUAGUAGCAGCCAUUGCUGCUUCUGUUUGGAGUUGCUUAUAGUGUCCAACAUUUGAAUUUUCGGUUUGCAGCUGGCCAUGUUGAUGCCUGCCUCAGGCUGGAAAUACUAAGAUGAAGGGAUGAGAGGAAAGGAGCAACCAGGAGUCUGUCAUUUCCUACCUCCCGCAUGCUCGACUUAGCAGCUUUAACACCACUCUUUGAACAGAGCUCUGUGCGUGUAUGCACAGUUCUCAUUAGUAAUGCCAGUGCUAGGUGCUUUACAUACACAGUGAAGCUAUCCUGGGCCUGAACAGCUUGAUCUCUAGAAGGACAGACAAUACACAGGGAAAACAAUGUGCCAUGCAAGCAGGGUGCAGACUGCUACAUGCGUUGCCUGAUGCCUCCCCUUCCACAGUGUGUGGGGCUACAGAAGUGUGCUGCAGGACUACUCCACAUGUUCUUCUUGCCACACGUUCUUCUGGCCACAGGGCUACAAUGGCUGAGUCCUCCCCCAAGCCUUUGAUUGACUCUGUCAGGGUGUAGUCAUAUAUGCUUUGGCCUGUACUUGGUGGGUGAGCACAGGUGCUCUGCUCUGUAAACCAGGCUUGCAGGGCAGGGUCCUGGGCAGAAUGCACAGUGGGGCAUAUGCUUAGGCUGUUUUGAAAAGGAAAAACCUGUGCAGUUUUUUCUGUGCAGGUGACUAAUGGAUCCAUGACUAACAUGACUAAAGGAUGACAGAGAUAGCAGUGUGUGCACCAGGUAGCUUGGGGGCAAGCUACUGUUGUCCUUGUGCCUUUGGGGUUGUAUGUGGGUCAGUGUCAUAUCUGCUUUACUUCUUCUUGAGAGCUAAGCUGGGACUGCUGCUGUAUGUAGAAGGAGGGAAGCAGACAGGAGGUGAGACUGUUUCCAGCAUCCUCUUUCUUCAUUAGUGAGAGUAAAGCACAGCCCUGAGCAUCAGGGAAUUUCCACUGUGUGGGAAUGCUCAGUUCUAAAAGACCUUAACUACUUCCUCCCCUUUCUUGCCCGACCUAAAUCCAUGGCAAGGGGACCUGUGUUGUUUUUAUGUGAAUGUUGUCUGGCAUGAUAAUGGAAGCAAACCUGGGCAAUGACAUGCAGGGGAAAAGCAAAACAAUUUGGUUUCCAGGCCCUUGGGAUACUCGUAAGCAAAGAACCAACAGAAGAAAGGAAAAAUGAAAUGGAGAGAUGAAAACUGCAGCUGAAACAUGCAUGAGACUGGGGAGUAUUGGCCUGGAAUUCCAUUAAAAUUCAGAGCUGUAACCAGUUCCGCUGAAGAUCAGCAUGCACCCUAGGUGCUACCCUGACCUCUCUGACUAGUUCUUGGAUUAGCACCACUACUUGAACCAGGGACUAUGGAGCUACCAGCAUGACCUAAAAGGUCAUGCUCCUGAACCAAAACCCAUUCCUGUGAACUUGUUACCUGGUGACAGCUGCCAGGCCAUGUGAGAGGAAAUCUUCCACAAGGACCUGCAAAAGGAGCACAGAGACCUGAGCUGGCAAACAGCCCCCUGGGCACUCCCUGUGCAGGCAUGGAAAAACAGUGUAGGGCAGAGAGGUCCUUUGAACUGCCUGAGGCCAAUCUGCCAGUGGCAGGCAGAAACAAUCAACCACGUUUUCUGGAACUGCCCAUAUGCCAGAGAGGUGUGAAAGAAAGUACACAGACUCCUUCUGGCAGUGACAGGUUUCAGAACCCCGACCAGAGAAGUGGUCCUCUACGGGUACUUGACCUGACAGCCUGCUUUGACCAGUUCAUCUCCUGCUUCAGGUAUGCCCUGUGGAAAGCCAGGAACCUGUUCACAAAUAGGUGCUCAGACCCCACAAUUGAGGACUGUAUUAAAAUGGGGCUGAGUAAAAUGUACUGGUAAUACAGGAAGACAGAAGAGGACAACAGGAGAGAGAGCAGACCUCAUAUGGUGGAGAGAGGACUGGCAUAGACUUUUCAGAGACGAGCCCUCCAAAGAGAACAACGACGAUAGUGAUUCUGCAGAUUGUGACUGGAUCCACAGGGCCUGAGGGAUUCUGACUGAGUGGGCGAAGGCUGUUUCUGGAAGGGCAGAGCUGCAGAUAUGGUUUUGUUGAUAUUCCUCUCCAUCUGUGUUAUGCAUUAAGAUCAGGGGAAGGAGCAGGAGCCUUAAAGAAAGCAGGAUUAUGUAAGAGGGACAAACCUCAUUCUCCUGACAAAAGAAUGUGGAGAACAUGGCUUGAGGGGAACAACCUGUAUCUUAGUAGGGAGCCCUUUUAGUUUAAAAGUAAUAUUAUAGAAGUUUUAAAAUUUUCUUUGAAUUAAACUUUUUCUACCA